rnacentral:lncRNA from 10 species
GUGAUCAUUGCAGGGAUAUGUCACAAAGCACCCUGUAGGCAGAUCCUAGAGAAGAGUUAUAUCACCUGGGUGAUCAGUGCAGAGAUAUGUCACAAGCCCCCUGUAGGCAGAGCCUAGACAAGAGUUAUAUCACCUGGGUGAUCAGUGCAGUCAUAUGUCACAAUGCUGUGUAGCCAGAGCCUAGACAAAAGUUACAGCACCUGGGAGAUCAGUGCAGAGAUAUGUCACAAUGUCCCCAGUAGGCAGAGACCAGGCAAGAGUUGGAUCACCUCGGGAUCAGUGCAGAGAUAUGUCUCAAUCCCCCUGUGGGCACAGCCUAGACAAGAGUUACAUCACCUCGGUUAACAGUGCAGAGAUAUGUCAAAAUGCCCCUGUAGGCAGAGCCUACACAAGUAUUACAUCACUUAGGUGAUCAGUGCAGAGAUAUGUCACAAUACCCCCUGUAAGCAGAGCCUAGACAAGAGUUACGCAGAGCCUACACAAGUGUU